GACGAACGCUGGCGGCGUGCUUAACACAUGCAAGUCGAACGGAAAGGCCCUGCUUUUGUGGGGUGCUCGAGUGGCGAACGGGUGAGUAACACGUGAGUAACCUGCCCUUGACUUUGGGAUAACUUCAGGAAACUGGGGCUAAUACCGGAUAGGAGCUCCUGCUGCAUGGUGGGGGUUGGAAAGUUUCGGCGGUUGGGGAUGGACUCGCGGCUUAUCAGCUUGUUGGUGGGGUAGUGGCUUACCAAGGCUUUGACGGGUAGCCGGCCUGAGAGGGUGACCGGCGACAUUGGGACUGAGGUACGGCCCAGACGGCUACGGGAGGCAGCAGUGGGGAAUAUUGCGGAGUGGGCGGAAGCCUGAGGCAGCAACGCCGCGUGCGGGAUGACGGCCUUCGGGUUGUAAACCGAUUUGGCCGGUGACGAAGAGUGAGUGACGGUAAUGGGUAAGGAAGCAACGGCUAACUACGUG
rnacentral:rRNA from 1 species